rnacentral:tRNA from 1 species
AGAGAUGUAGUAUAUUUUAUUAUAUUUGGUUUGGGACUAAAAGAUAUUAUUUUUGUAAUCAUUUCUA